GUCCACGCCGUAAACGUUGGGAACUAGAUGUGGGGCCAUUCCACGGCUUCCGUGUCGCAGCUAACGCAUUAAGUUCCCCGCCUGGGGAGUACGGCCGCAAGGCUAAAACUCAAAGGAAUUGACGGGGGCCCGCACAAGCGGCGGAGCAUGCGGAUUAAUUCGAUGCAACGCGAAGAACCUUACCAAGGCUUGACAUAUACGAGAACGCUGCAGAAAUGUAGAACUCUUUGGACACUCGUAUACAGGUGGUGCAUGGUUGUCGU
rnacentral:rRNA from 1 species